AUUGAACGCUGGCGGCAUGCUUUACACAUGCAAGUCGAACGGCAGCGCGGGCUUCGGCCUGGCGGCGAGUGGCGAACGGGUGAGUAAUGCAUCGGAACGUGCCCAGUAGUGGGGGAUAGCCCGGCGAAAGCCGGAUUAAUACCGCAUACGACCUGAGGGUGAAAGCGGGGGACCGAAAGGCCUCGCGCUAUUGGAGCGGCCGAUGUCGGAUUAGCUAGUUGGUGGGGCAAAGGCUUACCAAGGCGACGAUCCGUAGCUGGUCUGAGAGGACGACCAGCCACACUGGGACUGAGACACGGCCCAGACUCCUACGGGAGGCAGCAGUGGGGAAUUUUGGACAAUGGGGGCAACCCUGAUCCAGCCAUGCCGCGUUCGGGAAGAAGGCCUUCGGGUUGUAAACCGCUUUUGUUCGGGAAGAAAUCCUCUGGGCUAAUACCCCGGGGGGAUGACGGUACCGGAAGAAUAAGCACCGGCUAACUACGUG
rnacentral:rRNA from 1 species